UAGGGAAUCUUCGGCAAUGGGGGGAACCCUGACCGAGCAACGCCGCGUGAGGGAAGAAGGUUCUCGGAUCGGAAAGCUCUGUUGUUAAGGAAGAACGAGUGUGAGAAUGGAAAGUUCAUGCUGUGACGGUACUUAACCAGAAAGGGACGGCUAACUACGUGCCAGCAGCCGCGGUAAUACGUAGGUCCCGAGCGUUGUCCGGAUUUAUUGGGCGUAAAGCGAGCGCAGGCGGUUAGAAAAGUCUGAAGUGAAAGGCAGUGGCUCAACCAUUGUAGGCUUUGGAAACUGUUUAACUUGAGUGCAGAAAGGGAGAGUGGAAUUCCAUGUGUAGCGGUGAAAUGCGUAGAUAUAUGGAGGAACACCGGUGGCGAAAGCGGCUCUCUGGUCUGUAACUGACGCUGAGGCUCGAAAGCGUGGGGAGCGAACAGG
rnacentral:rRNA from 1 species